GACAGAGGUCCCAAGCGUUAGGCGGAAUCACUGGGCUUAAAGCGUGUGUAGGCGGAUUUGUAAGUACCUUGUGAAAUCCCACGGCUCAACCGUGGAACUGCUUGGUAUACUGCUUAUCUUGGGCCAUCUAGGGGCUAGCGGAACAAACGGUGGAGCGGUGAAAUGCGUAGAUAUCGUUUGGAACGCCAAUGGUGAAAACAGCUAGCUGGGGAUGUGCCGACGCUGAGACACGAAAGCCAGGGGAGCGAACGGG
rnacentral:rRNA from 1 species